AAUCCUCAAAACCUGUUCUUCGAUUGGGGAAAGGGUUUUGGACUUGGAGGAUCAAUGCUUGCCCUCACUUUGAAGGCGAGCUCCUCUCAAAUAAAUUAGUGGGGUUUGCUUUGCUGAUCCUUGACGGUGAUAAGACAUCUCUACGUUUUGGAUUUGGCAACUGUCCCUUGCUUCUAACCGUCCUAUAUGGACAAUGAUGGGUGCACCGGUCCACCUCCUUACAUUGGAGGGGGGCUGGACCCACAAAAAAGGA
rnacentral:misc_RNA from 1 species